GUGCUUGCUUCCGCAGCACAUAUGCUAAAAUUGGCAUGACACAGAGAAGAUUAGCAUGGCCCCUGUGCAAGGAUGACACGCAAAUUCGUGAAGCAUUCCAUAGUUUU
ensembl:snRNA Gm23247 predicted gene, 23247